rnacentral:rRNA from 1 species
GACGAACGCUGGCGGCGUGCUUAACACAUGCAAGUCGAACGGAAAGGCCUCUUUCGGGGGGUACUCGAGUGGCGAACGGGUGAGUAACACGUGAGUAACCUGCCCUUGACUUUGGGAUAACUUCAGGAAACUGGGGCUAAUACCGGAUAGGAGCUCCUGCUGCAUGGUGGGGGUUGGAAAGUUUCGGCGGUUGGGGAUGGACUCGCGGCUUAUCAGCUUGUUGGUGGGGUAGUGGCUUACCAAGGCUUUGACGGGUAGCCGGCCUGAGAGGGUGACCGGCCACAUUGGGACUGAGAUACGGCCCAGACUCCUACGGGAGGCAGCAGUGGGGAAUAUUGCACAAGGGGUGGAAGCCUGAUGCAGCAACGCCGUGUGCGGGAGGACGGCCUUCGGGUUGAAAACCGCUUUCGCUCAUGACGAAGCUUUGUGUGACGGUAGUGGGUAAAGAAGCACCGGCUAACUACGUG